UACGAAGGGUGCAAGCGUUAAUCGGAAUUACUGGGCGUAAAGCGUGCGUAGGCGGUACGUUAAGUCUGCCGUGAAAGCCCUGGGCUCAACCUGGGAACUGCGGUGGAUACUGGCGUGCUCGAGUGCGGUAGAGGAGGGUGGAAUUCCCGGUGUAGCGGUGAAAUGCGUAGAGAUCGGGAGGAACAUCAGUGGCGAAGGCGGCCCUCUGGACCAGCACUGACGCUGAGGCACGAAAGCGUGGGGAGCAAACAGGGAUUAGAUACCCUGGUAGUCCACGCCCUAAACGAUGCGAACUGGAUGUUGGGCACAUUACGGUGCUCAGUGUCGAAGCUAACGCGUUAAGUUCGCCGCCUGGGGAGUACGGUCGCAAGACUGAAACUC
rnacentral:rRNA from 1 species